GAUGAACGCUGGCGGCGUGCCUAAUACAUGCAAGUCGAGCGAACAGAUAAGGAGCUUGCUCCUUUGACGUUAGCGGCGGACGGGUGAGUAACACGUGGAUAACCUACCUAUAAGACUGGGAUAACUUCGGGAAACCGGAGCUAAUACCGGAUAACAUAUUGAACCGCAUGGUUCAAUAGUGAAAGGCGGCUUUGCUGUCACUUAUAGAUGGAUCCGCGCCGUAUUAGCUAGUUGGUAAGGUAACGGCUUACCAAGGCAACGAUACGUAGCCGACCUGAGAGGGGGAUCGGCAAAAUGGAAAUGGAGACACGGCCAGAAUCCAAAGGGAAGGAACAGUAGGGAAACUUCCGGAAAGGGCGGAAGCCUGAAGGGAGAACGCCGCGGGAGGGGAGAAGGUCCUCGGAACGGAAAAACCUGUUAACAGGGAAAAACAAAAGGGGAAAGAAAUGGGCAAAACUUGACGGGAACUGAUCAAGAAAGCAAGGCUAAAUUAGUG
rnacentral:rRNA from 1 species